rnacentral:rRNA from 1 species
AUUGAACGCUGGCGGCAGGCCUAACACAUGCAAGUCGAACGAGUGGCUGACGGGUGAGUAAUGUCUGGGAAACUGCCUGAUGGAGGGGGAUAACUACUGGAAACGGUAGCUAAUACCGCAUACCAUCGGAUGUGCCCAGCUGGGAUUAGCUAGUAGGUGGGGUAAAGGCUCACCUCGGCGACGAUCCCUAGCUGUGCUGAGAGGAUGACCAGACAAACUGGAAUGGAGACAAGGUCCAGACUCCGACGGGAGGAAGCAGGGGGGAAUAUUGCAAAAGGGGCGCAAGCCUGAUGAAGACAUGCCGCGGAUAUGAAGAAGGCCUUCGGGUUGUAAAGCACGUUUAGCGAGGAGGCGUUACUCGCAGAAGAAGCACCGGCUAACUCCGUGCCAGCAGCCGCGGUAAUUC